CAAAACUUUAUUUCAUUGAUGCAAAAUGACAAUAGAAAACGACAGGCUAUAUAUAUGUCUAAGUAACUUCCCUCAACAGUUGAGUCUACAUGAAUUCCCUCGGAGGCGGAGGUCACGGUGUGUGUAGUUACAUCCACAAAUACACAAUUAAAGCAUAUAAACAAGCACACAUAAACACAUGUGUCUACGACGCCUGUAUCACAUGUCCCCACACAUAGCAGAUAGUCCUAAUUAAAAUACCCGAAAUAUAUGUGGGUCCAGAGACUCAGUAUCAUAUUAAUACCACUGUUGAGAGUCAAAUAAAUGACACAGUACAAACAAUGUACAAACAAUGCCUCCCCUCUCCUACCUCCCUUGCCCCUAGGCCUAGCCACCAGCCAAAUAAGCCUUAAAACUGGACUUACUGUGCAGUUGGUGCAGUCAUACAGUCCACGGGUUACAUUUCUGCCUUGAAAUGGUUCGAACUGAAGCGCAGACAUUGUGUGUACCAGACAAGAGCAUGGCAGUGGCCUACUACAUAGCUCUUGUCUAACUACUGACCCUUUAGAAUCCCUCCGAAGCAGUUAAACCCGCCACUUGCAUUCUAGAAUGUGAAAUAUAUAUUGUCAACUCCCCAAAACCAUAAAACUAACUUUAUGGACCCCACGUGACUUUUGAGAGCCAGUAAGGGGUAUCUGUCCGUGGCCUGGGCGAUUUUUACGGUCUAACUUCAAGAUAAAACCCUCAUCCGUUUGACAUGUAAAUGUCAUAGCUUCUUUUUGUAUAGUUUGGCCAAAGGGGAAAGCAAAUUUUCAAAACGCAAUGGGCCAGGCAGCGCCGGGCAGAUGGGGAUUUUUGGCAGGACCUUUACUCGGCUCUAAAAAGUAGCGUAGGACCAGAAAGAACGGUUGAGGACCCACCGGUCUCCUGACAACUUUUCGAACAGCAAGGUAAAGCCGGCUGAACUUCCCUUGGUAACUUUUGUGGACAAAACUGCACUGCAGAAAGGUUGUCCACAAAUUGCAUGGGGAGCAACACACUGGAUACCAAUUCAGUUAAAAUUACACAAUAUCUAUGGACUAUUACCGGAAAUCCCAGUGAAGAUGAGUCUGACUGUAUAGAGAAAAAGUGAUGAUUUGUUUUUACAGACCAGGGAGGAAACACGCGCCUGUCACUUUUUGUCAUGUGUCUCCGAACUACCUCAUAGAACCCCGAGUUCCGCAUGACAUAUGCAUAUGUAAGUAUGUGCUCUUUUCAUGAUCCUGCAUUGUUCUGUAUAUUUGUUUAUUUGAUCAUAUAUUAAUACGUGCAUGUAUACGAGUAUGUGUGUGAAACAAAGUCAAGUAGUAAUAGGCCUAUAUUUCCUUGUAAAUGUUAUAUUUGCUACUGUGAAUAAAAUGUGUUUGACGCGCAGCAUUUUGAUGGAAAUAAGUAUAUUUUGCACGAUUAAACAUACAAUACUGUGCUCUGCUGAGUUACUAACUGCAUAUCAUGUCAAAAGGCCAAUUUUGUUGAUUGUAGCUUUUCAUUGGCCUAUCUGUAAUCUUGGUGAUAAUGUAGACCUAUCAUAAAAAUAUAAGAAAGUUGUAAACGA